rnacentral:rRNA from 1 species
GCAAGUCGAACGAGAUCUUCGGAUCUAGUGGCGCACGGGUGAGUAACGCGUGGGAACCUACCUUUUAGUACGGGACAACGUUUGGAAACGAACGCUAAUACCGUAUACGCCCUCCGGGGGAAAGGUCAGCCGCUAAAAGAGGGGCCCGCGUCGGAUUAGCUAGUUGGUGAGGUAACGGCUCACCAAGGCAACGAUCCGUAGCUGGUCUUAGAGGAUGAUC